CAUAUGUUAAAGAAAAUCAGCACAGGGUGCUGCCCGUGCCGCGCCGCGCAAGGGAGAUGCUGGGUUUCCGCACCAUAUUCAUGUGCAACGGCUAUCUCAACGAUCCCACGGAUUACAGCUGGAGCUAUGACGAUCUGCCGAGGGUCGCCGAGGAUAUGAAGGAGCACGGCAUAUACGACCUCAACGCGUGGAGCCUUUACGACUAUGUACUGCCCUUCGGCAAAGACUGCUUCCACGAGCAGUGGGGCGGUUUUGAAAACUGCAAAAAGAAUAUCGACAAGCUGCAUGAAAUGGGCAUUACCGUAACGCCUCUUGUUUCGUGGGUAUCCGCAUGGGAUCAGACUGCGAAGAACUACG
rnacentral:misc_RNA from 1 species